GGAAGAGAAGCCCUCCCAUAAUACCUAUGAAGAAUCAAGACACUGGCUGGAAGCAGAAUUUCCCUCAGUGCUUAGUACCCAUCAGCAAAGCACAGUAAUAAGGUUACACAAGUCAUUUGGUUAUGAACUCCACAUAAGUCCACCUGAUCACUGGAGAACAAACAAGUAAGUCUCAUCACUUGCCGAGCAGGAAAACUACAACUGUAUCUUACCUUUCUGGAGUUACACAGGCACCAACGGGCAGUGAAGGUCAAGAAAAAACAGAAAGCGAGAGAGGAUGAAAUGUAGAUCAAGAAAGCCAAGCAUCCAGGAAAUAACCCUUGGGAUUUGCAUAUGUAAUGGAUGGAGUUAAAUAGGUAACCGGUCUCAAAGAGGGAAAGGGAAAAAACCAGGAAUAGCUUCUGCUGAAUAUUUUAGCUGAUGUUAUCUCAUUCAUGUGGCAGACCAGUAACAGGAAAAUAAAUGACUCUCAUCCUUUUGGAAUGAAGUAGCUGUAGUAAGUUGUGACCUCAGCAGCUUCCUCCUCUUCCUCAGGCCCAGCCUUUGCUUCUCUCUGUCUCUGGCUAUUGCUCCCUAUUUCAGCCAUCUGGGCAUUUUGUGAAAUCAGUGGGGAGGGAAAUGUAUUAAAGAAAAAAGUCUCCAAAGAUUUUUUCAUUUAUUAAAGGGAUAUUUAAAGGAUGUCAAAGGGUGAUGAGACCAUCAUACAGUAUCCAAUAUAAAAAGUCAAAGCAGCAAGAUAUCAUUAAGAAUUGUCCAGACUUUCACCUCUGUUGUUGAUUCUUCUUGAAGAUGGGAUUUCAUUUGUGAAGACCUGAUUUUCAGUUUGUGUCAAAUGGCAAAAUUUCUUUUUUUCUUUUUUUUUUUCAUUGAAUCACUUAUUGAAACAUCUGCCAGGACAAUGGUUGUGCUGAAGAAUUUGAGACACUGGAAAUAAACAUUAAAUGACUGUGAGACAGGCAAGAAUAAUUAGAAAUACUAUAAGAAGGGACUAGAAUAUACUUUGUUACCAUAACCUGAGACUUUUCAGGCGUGACCAAGAAAACAAGUCCCAAUAUUCCCUAAGCUGCCUUUUUUAUUAACUUAGAUGUAGAUUGUUUUAUUCCACUUGUCAUGUUAAUUCAGGUAUAACAUGAAGUGUUAGUAAUGGUUUUGAUUGGACAAAAAUAAUUCAACACCAUUCUAUCAUCUAUAACCAUAACCAGGAUUAUGAUGGCCUUGGGUGGAAGCUGUCUACUUUGUGUCAUCUCUUUGUAAGGUUCACUUACAUUCCUGCUUUAAUCAUUGUAGCUAUAACUAUUUAAUGAUACCUUCCUAAAUCUUGUGCCAUACCUAACACGUUAGGAAUAAUUUUAUUUCAAGAAAAUGAAAUUGUAAGAUGUAAUGUUUUAUCAGUUUUUCUUCCAUUUACCCUCAGUUCAAGAAUUCUUCCUUAUUACAUUGUGAACGUCCUUGUUAUGUAUCAAACUAUUUUAUCAAUGGCUAUUUAUCCAUGACAAGUCUCUCCAGGAAAGCAGAAACCACUUCAAUUAUUACAACACAAAAAAAUUUAAUGGAGUGAAGUGAUUACACAGGUGAGGACUGAGCUGAGACGCCAAA